GCAAGCUUCUCAAAGAGUCUUUUGACAAAAGGUCCACUCUGUUAGAACCAUUUUAGCGCAGCUACACACCUGCAGGACAGCAGCCCCGAAUAGUUAUCGGACUGAACAGUUAAAAAGAUCAUCUGGGAAUCCCGCCUAAUGGAGCUUUCUGAAGGUUCUCAAACAUUCACGCAGCUCCACCGAGAUAUAAACGAUCUGGAACAGACCUUGUUGGUGGUUCUCCGGAACAAAUCGUCUGCAGCCUAACUCCGUCACAUUAUUGUCUGACACACAGCUAAGAAGGAUAACAGGCUCCAUAUGGACCCUGAACGGCUUCGGAAGAGCAGAGGACACAUCAGAGGAUUCGGAUGCAAAUCUACCUUUCUGUAGGAAUGUUUUUUCAAACACGCCGAGAACAGAGGCUUUAAACUGCCGAUCAACUCCCCCGGGAACAUCCACCAGCGCGCACCAUAUUCCUAACCCACCAAACAACGCA